CGUACAAGCAGUGGGAGCACGCUUCGGCGUGUGACUGCGUACCUUUUGUAUAAUGGGUCAGCGACUUAUAUUCUGUAGCAAGGUUAACCGAAUAGGGGAGCCGAAGGGAAACCGAGUCUUAACUGGGCGUUAAGUUGCAGGGUAUAGACCCGAAACCCGGUGAUCUAGCCAUGGGCAGGUUGAAGGUUGGGUAACACUAACUGGAGGACCGAACCGACUAAUGUUGAAAAAUUAGCGGAUGACUUGUGGCUGGGGGUGAAAGGCCAAUCAAACCGGGAGAUAGCUGGUUCUCCCCGAAAGCUAUUUAGGUAGCGCCUCGUGAAUUCAUCUCCGGGGGUAGAGCACUGUUUCGGCAAGGGGGUCAUCCCGACUUACCAACCCGAUGCAAACUGCGAAUACCGGAGAAUGUUAUCACGGGAGACACACGGCGGGUGCUAACGUCCGUCGUGAAGAGGGAAACAACCCAGACCGCCAGCUAAGGUCCCAAAGUCAUGGUUAAGUGGGAAACGAUGUGGGAAGGCCCAGACAGCCAGGAUGUUGGCUUAGAAGCAGCCAUCAUUUAAAGAAAGCGUAAUAGCUCACUGGUCGAGUCGGCCUGCGCGGAAGAUGUAACGGGGCUAAACCAUGCACCGAAGCUGCGGCAGCGACGCUGAUGCGUUGUUGGGUAGGGGAGCGUUCUGUAAGCCUGCGAAGGUGUGCUGUGAGGCAUGCUGGAGGUAUCAGAAGUGCGAAUGCUGACAUAAGUAACGAUAAAGCGGGUGAAAAGCCCGCUCGCCGGAAGACCAAGGGUUCCUGUCCAACGUUAAUCGGGGCAGGGUGAGUCGACCCCUAAGGCGAGGCCGAAAGGCGUAGUCGAUGGGAAACAGGUUAAUAUUCCUGUACUUGGUGUUACUGCGAAGGGGGGACGGAGAAGGCUAUGUUGGCCGGGCGACGGUUGUCCCGGUUUAAGCGUGUAGGCUGGUUUUCCAGGCAAAUCCGGAAAAUCAAGGCUGAGGCGUGAUGACGAGGCACUACGGUGCUGAAGCAACAAAUGCCCUGCUUCCAGGAAAAGCCUCUAAGCAUCAGGUAACAUCAAAUCGUACCCCAAACCGACACAGGUGGUCAGGUAGAGAAUACCAAGGCGCUUGAGAGAACUCGGGUGAAGGAACUAGGCAAAAUGGUGCCGUAACUUCGGGAGAA
rnacentral:rRNA from 1 species